rnacentral:rRNA from 1 species
GACGAACGCUGGCGGCGUGCCUAAUACAUGCAAGUUGAGCGCUGAAGGUUGGUACUUGUACCGACUGGAUGAGCAGCGAACGGGUGAGUAACGCGUGGGGAAUCUGCCUUUGAGCGGGGGACAACAUUUGGAAACGAAUGCUAAUACCGCAUAAAAACUUUAAACACAAGUUUUAAGUUUGAAAGAUGCAAUUGCAUCACUCAAAGAUGAUCCCGCGUUGUAUUAGCUAGUUGGUGAGGUAAAGGCUCACCAAGGCGAUGAUACUUAGCCGAACUGGGAGGGGGAUGGGCCAACUUGGGAAUGGGACACGGCCCAAACUCCUACGGGAGGCAGCAGGAGGGAAUCUUCGGCAAUGGAAGAAAGUCUGACCGAGCAACGCCGCGUGAGUGAAGAAGGUUUUCGGAUCGUAAAACUCUGUUGGUAGAGAAGAACGUUGGUGAGAGUGGAAAGCUCAUCAAGUGACGGUAACUACCCAGAAAGGGACGGCUAACUACGUGCCAGCCGCCGCGGUAA